UCCUGACAGUGCUAGCCUAGGAAUGC
rnacentral:piRNA from 1 species